UCGGAGCGCAUCUUUCCGACAAAGCCGAUAUUUAUCGCCCCCAGUUUCGCCCGCAGCCAAGGUUUCAUUUAAAAUAUUAUCGCUGACACGAUGGUCCUAUUGCCGUACAGCUAUAUAUGGAUUUAACGUCCGAGUAAGGACGUUGACUUCUCGUGUCAAAUUAUGUGGAAAUUGGCUGCGCGACACGUAGCCGAGCGACGAGAAGGUUUAAGGGAUGGAAGGAAGGAAGGAAGAAAGGAAGGAAGGGAGAAGAGAGAGAGAGAAGGACGAAGGGAGAGAGGAUCGGUCGGUGGUUUUGCGGACACUUUGGGUAGGCAAUUCGUAAGCCGCCCCCGAAAACCGCAAUUCCCAACUGGACAUUGCACAAGUUCAGGUGGCGAAAGUGUACAAAGGGUUAAACGAAAUGAGAACGAGAAAAAAAGAGAAAAAAAAAAAAAAAACUAUUGGAAACGAAAAACGGAUCCAAAGAAACGAGGAGAAUAGCGAGCAUUUGUUAAUUAAUGUUGAUCAAGAAACAGUGUGUAA
rnacentral:lncRNA from 1 species